rnacentral:rRNA from 5 species
AAAACUUUCAACAACGGAUCUCUUGGUUCUGGCAUCGAUGAAGAACGCAGCGAAAUGCGAUAAGUAAUGUGAAUUGCAGAAUUCAGUGAAUCAUCGAAUCUUUGAACGCACAUUGCGCCCGCCAGUAUUCUGGCGGGCAUGCCUGUCCGAGCGUCAU